CUCCCCAUAGCUCAACAGGAUAGAGCAGCCGCCUCCUAAGCGGCCGAUAGAGGUUCGAGUCCUCUUGGGGAGG
rnacentral:tRNA from 1 species